GAACGUACCCAGAUCUAAGGAAUAGCCACUGGAAACGGUGAGUAAUACCUUAUACGCCCUUCGGGGGAAAGAUUUAUCGGAUUUGGAUCGGCCCGCGUUAGAUUAGGUAGUUGGUGGGGUAAUGGCCUACCAAGCCUACGAUCUAUAGCUGGUUUUAGAGGAUGAUCAGCAACACUGGGACUGAGACACGGCCCAGACUCCUACGGGAGGCAGCAGUGGGGAAUCUUAGACAAUGGGCGCAAGCCUGAUCUAGCCAUGCCGCGUGAGUGAUGAAGGCCUUAGGGUCGUAAAGCUCUUUCGCCCGUGAUGAUAAUGACAGUAGCAGGUAAAGAAACUCCGGCUAACUCCGUGCCAGCAGCCGCGGUAAUACGGAGGGGGUUAGCGUUGUUCGGAAUUACUGGGCGUAAAGCGCACGUAGGCGGAUUAGAAAGUUAGGGGUGAAAUCCCGGGGCUCAACCUCGGAACUGCCUCUAAAACUCCUAGUCUAGAGUUCGAGAGAGGUGAGUGGAAUUCCAAGUGUAGAGGUGAAAUUCGUAGAUAUUUGGAGGAACACCAGUGGCGAAGGCGGCUCACUGGCUCGAUACUGACGCUGAGGUGCGAAAGUGUGGGGAGCAAACAGGAUUAGAUACCCUGGUAG
rnacentral:rRNA from 1 species